rnacentral:rRNA from 1 species
UACGUAGGGGGCAAGCGUUGUCCGGAAUUACUGGGCGUAAAGCGCGCGUAGGCGGCUUUGUAAGUUAGAGGUGAAAGCCUGGAGCUCAACUUCAGAAUUGCCUUUAAGACUGCAUCGCUUGAAUCCGGGAGAGGUGAGUGGAAUUCCGAGUGUAGAGGUGAAAUUCGUAGAUAUUCGGAAGAACACCAGUGGCGAAGGCGGCUCACUGGACCGGCAUUGACGCUGAGGUGCGAAAGCGUGGGGAGCAAACAGG